rnacentral:misc_RNA from 1 species
AAAAAAAAAAAACGAAGCAAAGUAUAUCAUCUGUCCUUUCCAACUUUAGGUUCCCAGUAUUCCUAAACAAAAUCCAUCUCAACCACAACAUGUUUCAUGUAAAAUCGCCACAUUCUAUGUUGUGGACAUCAUGGGUGUUGAGUGAAGUGUUAAAGUAUUUCCAGUGGGUAUGGACGAGUGCGGAUCACAAGCUUUGCGGAGUUUAUUGUACCUCUGAAGAUCAAAAUUGUGAAUCUUCAUGAGCUUCUUUUGUUUUGCGCUAAAGCGGCUGUGGAAGAAUCCUUCAUAAGUAGGCUCUUUGGAUGUCCUAAGGAAGAAAGCAUAACCAGCCAUGCAGUAAAAGGAUGUAACAUAGAAGCAAAUUGGCUCCAUUACAUCCCAUGUUAGCUCCCAGAAAGUGAGCCUCAUGAAAGCUGCAGUCUGAAUCACAAAGAAUCCUAGCCCACACCAUAACUCCCUUUGCACCAAGGAUUCUGCCUUUUUGUCAAUAGCUGAUUUCUUCUCAUCCAUUUGUUGAAACUCUUUCAUCAUUUGUGGGUCAUUUGGCUGAGCCAAAGGCCUUGGCAUUAAGCCUUCCAUGGCUUUCACCACCUUAUCAGGCUUAAGGAAUACGACGUUUCCCAAAACAAGUACAAUUCCUGAUUGAUCGAGCAUCUUUGCGAAUUCUAUGGCUUGAUCGGAGUUUGAAGAAGCGCCAUUGCAGAUCUGAAAAAAUUCCGGAAAAGAAAUCCAGUCAUUCUCCAUCUGCCUCAGCCUCGAUUUCACCACCUCCAGUUGUGCCAAUCUCAUAACCUUCUUUGCAUCCGCCACCGUGAAUUUCUCCUCCUCGGCUUCUGACUCAAUCUCCGGCAACAAUUUUUGUUGCGGCGGUGAGAUGAGUGCA